GACGAACGCUGGACGGCGUGCCUAACACAUGCAAGUCGAACGGAGUUGUGUUGAAAGCUUGCUGGAUAUACAACUUAGUGGCGGACGGGUGAGUAACACGUGAGUAACCUGCCUCUCAGAGUGGAAUAACGUUUGGAAACGAACGCUAAUACCGCAUAACGUGAGAAGAGGGCAUCCUCUUUUUACCAAAGAUUUAUCGCUGAGAGAUGGGCUCGCGGCCGAUUAGGUAGUUGGUGAGAUAACAGCCCACCAAGCCGACGAUCGGUAGCCGGACUGAGAGGUUGAUCGGCCACAUUGGGACUGAGACACGGCCCAGACUCCUACGGGAGGCAGCAGUGGGGGAUAUUGCACAAUGGGGGGAAACCCUGACGCAGCGACGCCGCGUGAGGGAAGACGGUUCUCGGAUUGUAAACCUCUGUCUUUAGGGACGAAAAAAUGACGGUACCUAAGGAGGAAGCCACGGCUAACUACGUGCCAGCAGCCGCGGUAAUACGUAGGUGGCAAGCGUUGUCCGGAAUUACUGGGUGUAAAGGGAGCGUAGGCGGGGAGACAAGUUGAAUGUCUAAACUAUCGGCUUAACUGAUAGUCGCGUUCAAAACUAUCACUCUUGAGUGCAGUAGAGGUAGGCGGAAUUCCUAGUGUAGCGGUGAAAUGCGUAGAUAUUAGGAGGAACACCAGUGGCGAAGGCGGCCUACUGGGCUGUAACUGACGCUGAGG
rnacentral:rRNA from 1 species